UACGUAGGGGCUAGCGUUGUCCGGAUUUAUUGGGCGUAAAGAGCGUGUAGGCGGCCAGAUAGGUCUGCUGUGAAAACUCGAGGCUCAACCUCGAGAUGUCGGCGGAAACCAUUUGGCUAGAGUCCGGAAGAGGAAAGUGGAAUUCCUGGUGUAGCGGUGAAAUGCGCAGAUAUCAGGAAGAACACCCGUGGCGAAGGCGGCUUUCUGGGACGGUACUGACGCUGAGACGCGAAAGCGUGGGGAGCGAACGG
rnacentral:rRNA from 1 species